rnacentral:rRNA from 1 species
UACGUAGGUGGCAAGCGUUGUCCGGAUUUAAUGGGUUUAAAGGGUGCGUAGGCGGUUUUUUAAGUCAGUGGUGAAAUACUUCAGCUUAACUGGAGAGGUGCCAUUGAUACUGGGAAACUUGAGUACUGAUGAGGUAGGCGGAAUGGACGGUGUAGCGGUGAAAUGCUUAGAUAUCGUCCAGAACACCGAUAGCGAAGGCAGCUUACUAAGGAGUAACUGACGCUGAGGCACGAAAGUGUGGGGAUCAAACAGG